rnacentral:rRNA from 1 species
UACGUAGGAUGCAAGCGUUGUCCGGAAUUAUUGGGCGUAAAGAGCGCGCAGGCGGUCUAUCAAGUCAGAUGUGAAAUAUCCGGGCUUAACCCGGAGGGGUCAUUUGAAACUGGUAGACUAGAGUACAGCAGAGGAUAGCGGAAUUCCCGGUGUAGUGGUGAAAUGCGUAGAUAUCGGGAGGAACACCAGUGGCGAAGGCGGCUAUCUGGGCUGAAACUGACGCUGAGGCGCGAAGGCUAGGGGGGCGAAUGGG